CUGAGACCAGCAACUAGCUGGGGUCUCUGCUGAUUACAUUUGGACAUAGCCUGGCUAGCUGUUUUCCUCCGUUUUUGGUCUUUGCACCAAGUUAAGGUGAGCAUGGCCUCUGCGAUGGGGAGCUGGUGAGCUCCGUUAGCUCCCAGCAUGUACUGAGUUACCCUUGAUACCACAUCUGGGUUCUCCUGGACUGCACAGGACACACUCUCUCCACCUACCUGUAGGUGGCAGCGUGUGUCCAGGGACCGCUCGUUGUCCAGGCUGUUGGCCCUCUCGUUCUGCGGCCUGCUGGGCUGGC